GACGAACGCUGGCGGCGUGCUUAACACAUGCAAGUCGAGCGGUAAGGCCCUUUCGGGGGUACACGAGCGGCGAACGGGUGAGUAACACGUGGGUGACCUGCCCUCAGCUCUGGGAUAAGCCUGGGAAACCGGGUCUAAUACUGGAUAUGACUCCAUGACGCAUGUUGUGGGGUGGAAAGCCUUGUGCGGCUGAGGAUGGGCCCGCGGCCUAUCAGCUUGUUGGUGGGGUGANCGGCCUACCAAGGCGACGACGGGUAGCCGGCCUGAGAGGGCGA
rnacentral:rRNA from 1 species